GAUGAACGCUAGCGGCAGGCUUAACACAUGCAAGUCGAGGGGUAGAGGAAGCUUGCUUCCUUGAGACCGGCGCACGGGUGCGUAACGCGUAUGCAACCUACCUUUUACAGAGGGAUAGCCCAGAGAAAUUUGGAUUAAUACCUCAUGGUAUAUAUCAUUCGCAUGUUUGAUAUAUUAAAGUUCCAACGGUAAAAGAUGGGCAUGCGUCCUAUUAGCUAGAUGGUAAGGUAACGGCUUACCAUGGCAACGAUCUGUAGGGGUCCUGAGAGGGAGAUCCCCCACACUGGUACUGAGACACGGACCAGACUCCUACGGGAGGCAGCAGUGAGGAAUAUUGGACAAUGGGCGCAAGCCUGAUCCAGCCAUGCCGCGUGCAGGAAGAAGCAUCUAUGGUGUGUAAACUGCUUUUGUACGGGAAGAAACACUCCUUCGUGAAGGAGCUUGACGGUACCGUAAGAAUAAGGAUCGGCUAACUCCGUGCCAGCAGCCGCAGUAAUAC
rnacentral:rRNA from 1 species